CAUUCCCUACGGGGGGCAGCAGUGAGGAAUAUUGGUCAAUGGGCGCAAGCCUGAACCAGCCAAGUCGCGUGAGGGAUGACGGUCCUAUGGAUUGUAAACCUCUUUUGUCGGGGAGCAAGGCCCGCCACGUGUGGCGGGAAGGAGAGUACCCGAAGAAAAAGCAUCGGCUAACUCCGUGCCAGCAGCCGCGGUAAUACGGAGGAUGCGAGCGUUAUCCGGAUUUAUUGGGUUUAAAGGGUGCGUAGGCGGAAGGUUAAGUCAGCGGUCAAAUGUCGGUGCUCAACCCCGGCCUGCCGUGGAAACUG
rnacentral:rRNA from 1 species